GAUGAACGCUGGCGGCGUGCUUAACACAUGCAAGUCGAGCGAGUGAGUUCUUCGGAACGAUCUAGCGGCGGACGGGUGAGUAACACGUGGGCAACCUGCUUCACAGAGGGGAAUAGCCUCCCGAAAGGGAGAUUAAUACCGCAUAACAUCGUUGAAGGGCAUCCUUCGAUGAUCAAAGGAGCAAUCCGCUAUGAGAUGGGCCCGCGGCGCAUUAGCGAGUUGGUGAGGUAACGGCUCACCAAGGCGACGAUGCGUAGCCGACCUGAGAGGGUGGUCGGCCACAUUGGGACAGAGACACGGCCCAGACGCCUACGGGGAGCAGCAGUGGGGAAUAUUGCAUAAUGGGGGAAACACCGAUGCAGAAACGCCGCGUGAGUACUGACGGUCUUCGGAUUGUAAAGCUCUUGCUUGGGGGACGAUAAUGACGGGACACAAGGAGGAAGCUACGGCUAACUACGUGGCAGCCGCCGCCGUAA
rnacentral:rRNA from 1 species